rnacentral:lncRNA from 1 species
GUAGUAAAUAAAUGAAAUCAAGGUGAACAAGGCAGUUGUUCGGUUGAUUGAUUGAGGUUUGUAAACAAUAAGAUGAAAGCGCUAGACUUAGGGAUUUAUCAAUCAAGAGAUUCAAAACUAAAAUUCAAGGAUGCUAAUGGUUUAUAGAUUUAAUUCUAGAACUCGAUUUUAAUAAGUAAGCAAUCCAGCUAUCGCAUGUAGUUACUAAUCAGAUGUCUAAGUCCAGUCUCAGCUGUCGCUUGUUCACUUGGAUCGAGCGUCGAUUG